CAAAGAUUAAGCCAUGCAUGUCUAAGUAAAAGUAAAUUUUUACAGCGAAACUGCGAAUGGCUCAUUAAAUCAGUUAUGAUCCACAUGGCAAAUACUUUACUACUGGAUAACCGUGGUAAUUCUAGAGCUAAUACAUGCAGAAAAGGCCUGACUUCGGAAGGGCUGCACUUAUUAGAUCAAAACCAUCCUGGGUAAAACCAGUUCUUUGGUGACUCAUAAUAAUUAAGCUGAUCGCAUGCCCUUGUGGCGGCGACGGUACAUUCGAUUUUCUGCCCUAUCAGGCUGUUGAUUGUAAGGUAGUGGCUUACAAUGGCGACCACGGGUAACGGGGAAUUAGGGUUCGAUUCCGGAGAGGGAGCCUGAGAAACGGCUACCACAUCCAAGGAAGGCAGCAGGCGCGCAAAUUACCCAAUCCCAACUCGGGGAGGUAGUGACAAUAAAUAACAAUGCAGGGCCAUUCGGCCUUGCAAUUGGAAUGAGUACAAUUUAAAUCCCUUAACGAGGAUCAAUUGGAGGGCAAGUCUGGUGCCAGCAGCCGCGGUAAUUCCAGCUCCAAAAGCGUAUAUUAAAGUUGUUGCAGUUAAAACGUCCGUAGUCGAAUUUACGCUUGAUGACUCGAUCGCUGGUUCUUCAUUGAGCCAGAUUGGUUGUGGUCUCGGUGAUAAAGCUUGGUUCAUAGCGGGGUCGACUUCGGUUGGCUUCGUUUUCUGGCCAAGCGUAUUACCAUGAGCAAAUCAGAAUGCUCAAAGUAGGCCUUCGCGCCUGAAUGUGUUAGCAUGGAAUAAUAAAAUAGGACUCGAGUCUUGUUUUGUUGGUUUACUUGACAUUGAGAAAUGAUGAAUAGGAACGGUUGGGGGCAUUUGUAUUCAAUCGCUAGAGGUGAAAUUCUUGGAUUGAUUGAAGACAAACUACUGCGAAAGCAUUUGACCCAGGACGUUUUCAUUGAUCAGGGACUAAAGUUGAGGGAUCGAAGACGAUUAGAUACCGUCGUAGUCUUAACCACAAACUAUGCCGACUAGCGAUUGGGCCUUGACCUUUGGUCAGGUUCAGCAGCUUAGCGAAAGUAAAGUCUUUGGGUUCUGGGGGGAGUAUGGGACGCAAGGCUGAAACUUAAAGGAAUUGACGGAAGGGCACCACCAGGAGUGGAGCCUGCGGCU
rnacentral:rRNA from 1 species